GACCUCAAGAGUAUCAUCAGCUGCCCCAAACCUCCAGGACCUCCAGGACCUCCAGACGAGUCAUGAAGCUGCUCCUCCUGCUGGCAGUUGCUGCCAGCCAGAUGGAGCUCUCUGCCUCUGAGACUGUUACUCUGAAUGCUCCUGGUGGAAACAUCAACAUCAGCGUCGCUCCCAUCACUUUCUAUGGAAAAACCUACACAUUGUUACACGCGAAGAUCGGCAA